CUCUCGCUCGGCUCGCGCACAUGUGCUCCCGCUGCUCCCGACGACGCGGCUCGACCUGGCGAGAGCGGCGGAGCCUGUGUCGGGCGGUGCGCGCAAAGGGUGACGAGGCGUGCCACCUCCUCCGUGCGCCCGCUUUGGGCACAAUCGGCCGCCGACCGACGAACUUCGCGUCGCUCCCGCAGCUCUCGCGCCUGACAGCGUGGAUACGCGAACUGGCGUCGGUGUCGUACAAGUUGGAAUAGGGCUACUGCUUUUGGCGAGAUAAUUUACUUUGCGACAUUCUGCGGGGCUUUGUGCGAAGUGUGAGCCCAAGAAAAGGAGAUUAGUAACUUGUUUGGCGAACAGCAUUUUUUGAGACCCGAAUGACAUUAUGAUAUCUGUGACUCCUUACAGGCGCUGACUGUUUCAUUCGAGUUGCCACGUUGUCUCAUUGGUGAACAACUGGAGUGGCCUGUCUGCUUUUGAGCGUCUCUUGCAAAGAAUUGCCGUUAGUAGAUCGUUUGCCUCCGGCCUACUGAGCUUUCCACCAGCUGUGACUGCCGGGAAGCACUGGACGUAUUAUCUCGGCUAUUUUGCGAGGCUGUGUUGUGGUUCAAGAAACUUAGAUAGAUAAUCGCACACUGUGUGCCGUCUACAAACCCAGGCUUCUUUUAGGUGAAUCUUAGAAUCUAAAGGACGCAUCUGUUCACUCGCCGAUUGAAUUCUGGCUUUGAAUUUGGGCAUCCCACGACGGUACCGAAGCCCACCUGUUGGAUUCAUCGCAGUCAUCAAGGUACGCUGGAGUGUGCCGUAGAUUGCAUCCGGUAUUCCGCCCGGAAUUUCUCCUCCUCUCUGCGAAGGCGUUCAGACGGAAAUAGUGGCUCGCCGAUUGACACAGCUCCAUACCAUUAUGGGACGUAUAACAGACUGACAGUAGAACUUCAUCGAAAACCAAG